rnacentral:lncRNA from 1 species
UCCUAUAUCAACAUCCCCACUUCAAGGUUGUAACCUCCCCCCUUUCUUUAGUCCCUUUCAUAAGAUUAUAUCAUUUUUUGAAGUUCAUGCUAUCGUUUUUCAUUGUCAAAUUCCGAAAACUGCAAGGUUUAUCACAAAUAUUGAUAUCGCCGUUUUCAGCCAUGAUCUUAAAAUUGAAAAUCAGUGAUCGGAUUACACGCGCCCCCUCGGUGCUACUGAAGAUAAUAUUACACACACUUCCGA